AGUGAACGCUGGCGGCAGGCCUAACACAUGCAAGUCGAGCGGCAGCGGGUUCCCGCGAGGGGAUGCCGGCGAGCGGCGGACGGGUGAGGAACACAUCGGAAUCUGCCUGGUUGUGGGGAUAACGUAGGGAAACUUACGCUAAUACCGCAUGAGACCCUGAGUCGACGGACUGGGGGUGAAAGUGAGGGACCUUCGGCCGUCACGCGACCAGAUGAGCCGAUGUCGGA
rnacentral:rRNA from 1 species